rnacentral:tRNA from 1 species
GGAAGGGCCACCCGAUGGGCGACGGGAUCCGGUUGGAAACCGGCGGGCCACUGGCCUUGCGGGUUCGACUCCCGCUCCUUCCG